rnacentral:rRNA from 1 species
UUGGAGGGCAAGUCUGGUGCCAGCAGCCGCGGUAAUUCCAGCUCCAAUAGCGUAUAUUAAAGUUGUUGCAGUUAAAGAGCUCGUAGUUGAAUUUCGGGGUUCAUCCGUUGGUCGGGCUUUUUUGGUCUGUACUGGCGUGAUGGAUUCCUACCUUCUGAAUAACCAGCAUGUCAUUAAUUUGGUGCGCUGGGGAAGCAGGACUGUUACCUUGAAAAAAUUAGAGUGCUUAAAGCAGGCUAUCGCCUGAAUACAUUAGCGUGGAAUAAUGAAAUAGGACGGCAUGGUUCUAUUUUGUUGGUUUCUAGGAUCACCGUAAUGAUUAAUAGGGAUAGUUGGGGGCAUUAGUAUUCAAUUGUCAGAGGUGAAAUUCUUGGAUUUAUUGAAGACUAACUUCUGCGAAAGCAUUUGCCAAGGAUGUUUUCAUUAAUCAAGAACGAGAGUUAGGGGAUCGAAGACGAUCAGAUACCGUCGUAGUCUUAACCAUAAACUAUGCCGACUAGGAAUCGGACGAUGUUAAUUUUUUAAUGACUCGUUCGGCGCCUUACGGGAAAC